rnacentral:lncRNA from 1 species
CUCCCCCGCCCCCGCCCCCCGCUCUGCCGCGGGCCCCCGCCCGCCGCGGGCCGAGAGCUCGGCGCGCUCGACCCCGGGUCCCGCCUCCCCGAGGUUUUCGCUUUCGCUUUCCCGCUGAUGUCGUUGGGGAAAAUUAAGCUGCCGAGGCCAGGCUGGCGCAGAAGCCGUUCCUGGCGAGGGGCGCAGAGCACGGCRGCGGCGGCGGCCGGCCUGGAACCCGGGUCCCGCUGCCCGCGCCGGGCGAGGACUUUGCUCAGUGGAUUGCUCCAUCCUCCUUGGAAUCCCUUCUCCUAAUGUUCUUGCCACUACUUCUCCAACUGAGUUGCUGAGCUGUUGAGUGGCAUGCCGUCCUUGGAUGGCUUCUCCACCGACUUCCAUUCUACAUCAUGGUCAUCUUGACUUCGAAGAGCUACAUGCUGAACACUCACAAAUAUUCAUUUCCAGACUCUCCCCUGGAUAUCUCCAGCCAAGUGUCCAAAAGACAUCUCACACGAAACAUGUCUGUGUUAGCUUUUCAUCACUGUGACCAGAAUACCUGACAAGAACAACUUAGAGGAGGAAAGCUAUUUUUGGGCUCUCAGUUUCUGAGGAUUCAGUCUAUGGCAGCUGGCUCCAUUCCGUUGAACCUGAGGUGAGGCAGAACAUCAUGGUAGAAGUGGGUGGUAAAGAACUGCUCAAUUCAUGGCAGCCAGAAAGAAAACCUUCUAAGACGCUGGGGCUGUAGCUCAGUGGCAGAGCCCUUGCCUAGCAUGUGUGAGACACUGACUGGAUUCGAUUCUUAGCAUCACACAAUUAAUAAAUAAAAUAAAGAAACUUCUUGUAGGGAACA